rnacentral:lncRNA from 8 species
GCUCGUUGUUGCUGAUUGGGAGUCACACAUAAGGAGCAUGUUUUUCCUUUGGGUUUUGUGGGUAAUUGUUCUUGUUACAGUGUUUGCACCUGACAGGACUGUGUUGGCUGUCAGUUUAUUGUUUUUGUAAUUGUAUAGUGUUCCGUUUCAUUAAAUAUAUCAUGAACACUAACUCCGCUGCAUUUUGGUCCACUCUCUCUAAAGACAGCCUUACAGAAUUACCCACCAAACAAGGACCAAGCAGCGGAGGAGGGAGCAGCGCCAGGAGGAGCAAGGAUCCUGGACCAGGGAGAGAAAGGACUGGACAUGGGAGGACAUCCUGGACGGCAAGGGAUCCUACACUUGGGAAGAGAUCCUGGUCGGAAGGGAUCGCCUCCCAUGGGAACAGGUAGUGGCACUCAGAAGAGUGGAGACAGCAGGAAAGAAGGACCAACGGCAACGGUAUGAGGGAACACGGCUGGGAAGGAAGCCCGAAAGGCAGCCCCAAAACAUUUUUUGGGGGGGGCACACGGGGAGUGUGGCAGAGUCAGGUUGGAGACCUGGUGCGUUACAUCCCAGCUCCUAACAUCUGCCGGGGGAGAUUGGGCAUCGAGCCAGGACGGGUUGUGCAGGCCGUGCACUCUAGACCUCCAGUGCGUCUUCAGGACCCGGUCUAUCCUGUGCCUGCGCCCAGAACCAGGCCUCCUGCAUGUCUCCCCAUCCUGGUCAAUCCUGUGCCUGCGCCCAGAACCAGGCCUCCUGCAUGUCUCCCCAUCCUGGUCAGUCCUGUGCCUGCUCCACGGACCAGGCCUCCAGUGGGUCUCCCCAUCCUGGUCAGUCCUGUGCCUCCUCCUAGGACCAGGCCACCAGUGGGUCUCCCCAUCCUGGUCCAUCCUGUGCCACCUCCCAGGACUAGGCCUCCAGUGGGUCUCGCCAGUCCGGAUCAGCCAGAGUGGCCCGCCUGCCCGGAGCUGCCAGAGUGGCCCGCCUGCCCGGAGCUGCCAGAGUGGCCCACCUGCCCGGAGCUGCCAGAGUGGCCCGCCUGCCCGGAGCUGCCAGAGUGGCCCGCCUGCCCGGAUCAGCCAGAGUGGCCCGCCUGCCCGGAUCAGCCAGAGUGGCCCGUCUGCCCGGAUCAGCCAGAGUGGCCCGUCUGCCCGGAUCAGCCAUCGCCGCCCGCCAGCCGGGCGCAACAAGGGUGGCCCGCCUGCCCGGAGCUGCCAGAGUGGCCCGCCUGCCCGGAGCCGUCAGAGUGGCCUGCCUGCCCGGAGCUGCCAGAGUGGCCCGUCUGCCCAGAUCAGCCAUCGCCGAUCGCCGCCCGCCAGCCGGGCGCAGCCAUCGCCGCCCGCCAGCCGGGCGCAACAAGGGUGGCCCGCCUGGCCGGAGCUGCCAGAGUGGCCCGCCUGCCCGGAGCCGCCAGAGUGGCCUGCCUGCCCGGAGCUGCCAGAGUGGCCCGUCUGCC